rnacentral:rRNA from 1 species
UUAAGGACGGCAUGUUGUCCUUGUAAUGGGGAUCCAGCAGGGUGGCCACCCAGUAAUCAGCACAAGUUAGAAUGUGGGCAACUCGGCAGUCGUUGCGCAGGCACUUUGGUGACUCUAGAUAACCUUGGGCCGAUCACACGUCCCCGUGACGGCAACAACGCAUUCGGAUGUCUGCCCUGUCAACUUUCGAUGGUAUUUUCUACGCCUACCAUGGUGACCAUGGGUAACGGGAAAUCAGGGUUUGAUUCCGGAGAGGAAGCCUGAGAAACGGCUGCCACAUCCAAGGAAGGCAGCAGACGCGCUAACUAUUCAUUCCUGACGCGGAGGUAGUGGCGAUAA